rnacentral:lncRNA from 1 species
ACGCGGGAUGUAGGCUUGGUGAAUUAGGACAUUGGACAGAUUUUGGUGGUCGGGAUCCUGGUGUGGGUGAUAAGUCCGAUGCCGCUCGAUGAACUUCUCGCGUAGAAGAUUUCGGGUUUGCAGAAAGUGGUAGCAGCAGGCGUGACAGACUUUGCAUGGUGGCAGGAGUGAUUUCCAGCUUCUUGUUUUAAACCCUGAAAACCAUCAAGCAUAUGCAGAAAUUCAGGGAGGGGAAGAUUUGUGUCGUGGAAUGAGGGUGGAGGCAUUUGGCGUGUGUAUUCAUAUUCGGACGUGCAUGAUGAGAGUUGGUUAUAUUCAGACACUCAGCACAGAAUGAAUGAAGUCGGAGUGAAUAGACUUGCGUUG